rnacentral:misc_RNA from 1 species
GAUGAAUAACGUAGCGAAAUGCGAUAAGUAAUGUGAAUUGCAGAAUUCAGUGAAUCAUCGAAUCUUUGAACGCACAUUGCGCCCGCCAGUAUUCUGGCGGGCAUGCCUGUUCGAGCGUCAUUUCAACCAUCAAGCCCCCGGCUUGUGUUGGGGACCUGCGGCUGCCGCAGGCCCUGAAAACCAGUGGCGGGCUCGCUGUCACACCGAGCGUAGUAGAUUUUCAUCUCGCUCAGGGCGUGCUGCGGGUUCCGGCCGUAAAAAGCCUUAUUUACCCAAGGUUGACCUCGGAUCAGGUAGGAAGACCCGCUGAACUUAAGCAUAUCAAUAAGCGGAGGA